AGCGCUGGUAGGCUAGUCCUACAGAGGACAUUUUAUGGAUAAAGAGAGCGCUGGUAGGCUAGUCUACAAAGGACAUUAUUAAUGAUAAGAGAGAGCGCUGGUACUGGCUAGUCUACACGAGGACAUUAUGAUAGAUAAGAGAGCGCUGGUAGGCUAGUCUACACGAGGACAUUAUUAUGGAUAAGAGAGAGCGCUGGUAGGCAUAGUCUACACGAGGACAUUAUUAUGGAUAAGAGAGACCUGGUAGGCCG
rnacentral:lncRNA from 1 species